UACGGAGGGUGCAAGCGUUAUCCGGAUUUACUGGGUUUAAAGGGUGCGUAGGUGGGUUGGUAAGUCAGUGGUGAAAUACUUUCGCUUAACGAAGGAACUGCCAUUGAUACUACCAGUCUUGAAUACAGUGGAGGUAGGCGGAAUGCGACAUGUAGCGGUGAAAUGCUUAGAUAUGACGCAGAACACCAAUUGCGAAGGCAGCUUGCUACACUGUUAUUGACACUGAGGCACGAAAGCGUGGGGAUCAAACAGG
rnacentral:rRNA from 1 species